CAGCACCGAGCAGACAGGACUGACAUCUGAACUCAAACAUGAUCCACAUCUUCAUAUUCUGUCUUCUUCAUGUGCCGGGAAACAGAGGUGACUCCAACACCAAGACUGUAACCCAAAAACCAAACUCCAUCAUAAAGAGGACCGGGGAAUCCAUCACCAGAGAGAUCAAAUGCUCACACAGCAUCACAGAUUACGAUGUCAUUCUCUGGUACAAACAGGACGAGCGCGGCGCUCUGAAGCUUCUGGGAUAUCUGAAUAAUCACAUACCAAACGUGGAGAAGGACGUGGACGUAAAGAUCAGCUUUGAUGGGAACGGACGUGAUGAAUCCAAGCUCACAGUUUCUAAUCUUACAUUAAGUGACAGUGGUGUGUAUUUCUGUGCUGCCAGUCAGCACGGUGCUGCAGAUCCCCCUCAAGUCAGCACAAAAACUCUCCCCUAUCUGCAGACAGGCUCCUGA